GUCGUACAGGUCUCCGUAGGUGAACCUGCGGAGGGAUCAUUACACAAAUAUGAAGGCGGGCUGGAACCUCUCGGGGUUACAGCCUUGCUGAAUUAUUCACCCUUGUCUUUCGCGUACUUCUUGUUUCCUUGGUGGGUUCGCCCACCACUAGGACAAACAUAAACCUUUUGUAAUUGCAAUCAGCGUCAGUAACAAAUUAAUAAUUACAACUUUCAACAACGGAUCUCUUGGUUCUGGCAUCGAUGAAGAACGCAGCGAAAUGCGAUAAGUAGUGUGAAUUGCAGAAUUCAGUGAAUCAUCGAAUCUUUGAACGCACAUUGCGCCCUUUGGUAUUCCAAAGGGCAUGCCUGUUCGAGCGUCAUUUGUACCCUCAAGCUUUGCUUGGUGUUGGGCGUCUUGUCUCUAGCUUUGCUGGAGACUCGCCUUAAAGUAAUUGGCAGCCGGCCUACUGGUUUCGGAGCGCAGCACAAGUCGCACUCUCUAUCAGCAAAGGUCUAGCAUCCAUUAAGCCUUUUUUUUCAACUUUUGACCUCGGAUCAGGUAGGGAUACCCGCUGAACUUAAGCAUAUC
rnacentral:rRNA from 1 species